rnacentral:rRNA from 1 species
UACGUAGGGGGCAAGCGUUGUCCGGAAUUAUUGGGCGUAAAGAGCGUGUAGGCGGUCCGGUAAGUCAGCUGUGAAAGUCAAGGGCUCAACCCUUGAAAGCCGGUUGAUACUGUCGGGCUAGAGUCCGGAAGAGGCGAGUGGAAUUCCCGGUGUAGCGGUGAAAUGCGCAGAUAUCGGGAGGAACACCAAUGGCGAAGGCAGCUCACUACGCGAAUAUUGACACUGAGGCACGAAAGCGUGGGGAUCAAACAGG